UCCUGGGUGGCCUAGCAGUUAAAAACUCAGCAUUGUUAUUGCUGUGACUCGGGUUUGAUCCCUGGCCUGGGAA
rnacentral:tRNA from 1 species